rnacentral:rRNA from 1 species
AGCAAGAGCCCGGAGAUGGAUUCUGAGACAUGAAUCCAGGCCCUACGGGGCGCAGCAGGCGCGAAAACUUUACAAUGCGGGAAACCGUGAUAAGGGGACACCGAGUGCCAGCGUCAUACGCUGGCUGUCCAGGUGUGUAAAAUACACCUGUUAGCAAGGGCCGGGCAAGACCGGUGCCAGCCGCCGCGGUAACACCGGCGGCCCGAGUGGUGAUCGUGAUUAUUGGGUCUAAAGGGUCCGUAGCCGGUUUGGUCAGUCCUCCGGGAAAUCUGAUAGCUCAACUAUUAGGCUUUCGGGGGAUACUGCCAGGCUUGGAACCGGGAGAGGUAAGAGGUACUACAGGGGUAGGAGUGAAAUCUUGUAAUCCCUGUGGGACCACCUGUGGCGAAGGCGUCUUACCAGAACGGGUUCGACGGUGAGGGACGAAAGCUGGG